GUAGUCGAUGGGAAACAGGUUAAUAUUCCUGUACUUGGUGUUACUGCGAAGGGGGGACGGAGAAGGCUAUGUUGGCCGGGCGACGGUUGUCCCGGUUUAAGCGUGUAGGCUGGUUUUCCAGGCAAAUCCGGAAAACCAAGGCUGAGGCGUGAUGACGAGGCACUACGGUGCUGAAGUGACAAAUGCCCUGCUUCCAGGAAAAGCCUCUAAGCAUCAGGUAACAUCAAAUCGUACCCCAAACCGACACAGGUGGUCAGGUAGAGAAUACCAAGGCGCUUGAGAGAACUCGGGUGAAGGAACUAGGCAAAAUGGUGCCGUAACUUCGGGAGAAGGCACGCUGAUAUGUAGGUGAAGCGACUUGCUCGUGGAGCUGAAAUCAGUCGAAGAUACCAGCUGGCUGCAACUGUUUAUUAAAAACACAGCACUGUGCAAACACGAAAGUGGACGUAUACGGUGUGACGCCUGCCCGGUGCCGGAAGGUUAAUUGAUGGGGUUAGCGGUAACGCGAAGCUCUUGAUCGAAGCCCCGGUAAACGGCGGCCGUAACUAUAACGGUCCUAAGGUAGCGAAAUUCCUUGUCGGGUAAGUUCCGACCUGCACGAAUGGCGUAAUGAUGGCCAGGCUGUCUCCACCCGAGACUCAGUGAAAUUGAACUCGCUGUGAAGAUGCAGUGUACCCGCGGCAAGACGGAAAGACCCCGUGAACCUUUACUAUAGCUUGACACUGAACAUUGAGCCUUGAUGUGUAGGAUAGGUGGGAGGCUUUGAAGUGUGGACGCCAGUCUGCAUGGAGCCGACCUUGAAAUACCACCCUUUAAUGUUUGAUGUUCUAACGUUGGCCCGUAAUCCGGGUUGCGGACAGUGUCUGGUGGGUAGUUUGACUGGGGCGGUCUCCUCCUAAAGAGUAACGGAGGAGCACGAAGGUUGGCUAAUCCUGGUCGGACAUCAGGAGGUUAGUGCAAUGGCAUAAGCCAGCUUGACUGCGAGCGUGACGGCGCGAGCAGGUGCGAAAGCAGGUCAUAGUGAUCCGGUGGUUCUGAAUGGAAGGGCCAUCGCUCAACGGAUAAAAGGUACUCCGGGGAUAACAGGCUGAUACCGCCCAAGAGUUCAUAUCGACGGCGGUGUUUGGCACCUCGAUGUCGGCUCAUCACAUCCUGGGGCUGAAGUAGGUCCCAAGGGUAUGGCUGUUCGCCAUUUAAAGUGGUACGCGAGCUGGGUUUAGAACGUCGUGAGACAGUUCGGUCCCUAUCUGCCGUGGGCGCUGGAGAACUGAGGGGGGCUGCUCCUAGUACGAGAGGACCGGAGUGGACGCAUCACUGGUGUUCGGGUUGUCAUGCCAAUGGCACUGCCCGGUAGCUAAAUGCGGAAGAGAUAAGUGCUGAAAGCAUCUAAGCACGAAACUUGCCCCGAGAUGAGUUCUCCCUGAGACUUAGAGUCUCCUGAAGGAACGUUGAAGACGACGACGUUGAUAGGCCGGGUGUGUAAGCGCAGCGAUGCGUUGAGCUAACCGGUACUAAUGAACCGUGAGGCUUAACCUU
rnacentral:rRNA from 1 species